rnacentral:rRNA from 1 species
GACGAACGCUGGCGGCGUGCUUAACACAUGCAAGUCGAACGGAAAGGCCCUGCUUGCAGGGUACUCGAGUGGCGAACGGGUGAGUAACACGUGGGUGAUCUGCCCUUCACUUCGGGAUAAGCCUGGGAAACUGGGUCUAAUACCGGAUAGGAGCCAUUUUUAGUGUGAUGGUUGGAAAGUUUUUUCGGUGUAGGAUGAGCUCGCGGCCUAUCAGCUUGUUGGUGGGGUAAUGGCCUACCAAGGCGGCGACGGGUAGCCGGCCUGAGAGGGUGGACGGCCACAUUGGGACUGAGAUACGGCCCAGACUCCUACGGGAGGCAGCAGUGGGGAAUAUUGCACAAUGGGCGCAAGCCUGAUGCAGCGACGCCGCGGGGGGGAUGACGGCCUUCGGGUUGUAAACUCCUUUCGCUAGGGACGAAGCUUUUUGUGACGGUACCUAGAUAAGAAGCACCGGCUAACUACGUG